GCAUAACGCGAAGAACCUUACCUGGCCUUGACAUUGAUAGAAUCUGCUAGAGAUAGCGGAGUGCCCUUCGGGGAGCUUGAAAACAGGUGCUGCACGGCUGUCGUCAGCUCGUGUCGUGAGAUGUUGGGUUAAGUCCCGCAACGAGCGCAACCCUCGUCACUAGUUACUAACGGUUCGGCCGAGGACUCUAGUGAGACUGCCUCCGUAAGGAGGAGGAAGGUGAGGACGACGUCAAGUCAUCAUGGCCCUUACGGCCAGGGCGACACACGUGCUACAAUGGGAUGUACAAUGAGACGCAAUACCGCGAGGUGGAGCAAAUCUAUAAAACAUCUCUCAGUUCGGAUUGUAGUCUGCAACUCGACUACAUGGAGCUGGAAUCACUAGUAAUCGUAGAUCAGCCAUGCUACGGUGAAUACGUUCCCGGGUCUUGUACACACCG
rnacentral:rRNA from 1 species